rnacentral:rRNA from 1 species
GUGCUGCAUGGCUGUCGUCAGCUCGUGUUGUGAAAUGUUGGGUUAAGUCCCGCAACGAGCGCAACCCUUAUCCUUUGUUGCCAGCGAGUAAUGUCGGGAACUCAAAGGAGACUGCCGGUGAUAAACCGGAGGAAGGUGGGGAUGACGUCAAGUCAUCAUGGCCCUUACGGCCAGGGCUACACACGUGCUACAAUGGCGCAUACAAAGAGAAGCGACCUCGCGAGAGCAAGCGGACCUCAUAAAGUGCGUCGUAGUCCGGAUCGGAGUCUGCAACUCGACUCCGUGAAGUCGGAAUCGCUAGUAAUCGUAGAUCAGAAUGCUACGGUGAAUACGUUCCCGGGCCUU